AUUGAACGCUGGCGGCAGGCCUAACACAUGCAAGUCGAGCGGAUGAAGGGAGCUUGCUCCUGGAUUCAGCGGCGGACGGGUGAGUAAUGCCUAGGAAUCUGCCUGGUAGUGGGGGAUAACGUCCGGAAACGGGCGCUAAUACCGCAUACGUCCUGAGGGAGAAAGUGGGGGAUCUUCGGACCUCACGCUAUCAGAUGAGCCUAGGUCGGAUUAGCUAGUUGGUGGGGUAAAGGCCUACCAAGGCGACGAUCCGUAACUGGUCUGAGAGGAUGAUCAGUCACACUGGAACUGAGACACGGUCCAGACUCCUAAGGGAGGCAGCAGUGGGGAAUAUUGGGAAAAGGGCGAAAGCCUGAAUCAGCCAAGGCGGGGGUGUGAAGAAGGGCUUCGGGUUUGAAAACCCUUUUAGGUGGGAGGAAGGGCAGUAAGUUAAUACCUUGCUGUUUUGACGUUACCAACAGAAUAAGCACCGGCUAACUUCGUG
rnacentral:rRNA from 1 species